GGCCCAGAUCGUUUACCGUGAAAAAAUAGAGUGCCCACAGCAUAAGCAUCCACCUCUCCCCCACCGAAUACAUAGCAUGAGGCAGGAAGAGGACCCCGUCCUUGGUUUUAUUUUCAAUGGUCGUGAGGUGUGGGUAUGAUUAUGAGUGAUAGUAGGGGGCGAUAACAUUGUUUCGAUCCCUGAAUUCGUUCUUGAUAAGAAAACAUCCUAGGCAGAGGUUGCCAAAAAUUAGUUUUUCAUUAAACCAAGAAAUUCACCUGUGGCAAAUCAAUCACAAUGCCCCCAACUCUCCCCCAUAAACAAUACCUUGCCUCGCGCGGCAACAGAAUCAAACUCCACAAACGCUGCGGGAUCGUCGGACUUAUUUUAUGAUGGGGCGCGCUCGCGGAGGUUUUUCGGGUUGACAAGAU
rnacentral:rRNA from 1 species